GUGUGUGUGUGUGCUCCUUAGGAUGGGUUGUGGGAAAAGCUCUGAGGUGAGAGUUAAGCCUUCCAAGGUGAUGGGGGGUGGGGUGGAGGGAGAAGAACAUGUGCCAAGCAUCAAGGCAGGGAAACCUUGGUGUGCUCGGAGAAUUAAAAGACAGCCCAUGCCUGGAGUUUCAAGAUCAAGAGGAAGAAUGGCUCCAAAUGAGACUGAGGGUGAGGCAGGCAGGGCUGGGUCAUGAGGAGGAUUUGGGUUUUAUUCCCAGUUCACUGAAAAGCCAUCUCUGAAUAAUUAGGAAUAACUCUAAGGUCUGUGGCCUCUGAAUCGAGACCCAGAAGAGGGAGGAAAUGAAGGGGUGUUCUAGGCAAGAACCAAGUAGUUCUCGAAACACUCAAUCAUCCUUGAGUUGAGGAUGACCGAGUUGCAGCAGAGUGAGGUGGGGACACACUGGGAUGAAUUCCAACACCCCGGAGAUUCUUGAGAGAUGACAAAUAAAUAGGGAGGUUGGCGCCAUUUUAGGAAGAUCAUUAAUCCAAGCUCUUCCAGAUUUUAUCUUGUAGGCCAGGGUGUCCCAAAUGUGCCUGAGGAUAAGAACCAUCUUAGGUGCUUAUUAAAAGGUGCAGAUUCCAGGGCCACCCCCUCUGUGGUCCCAUUUCUGGAGGUCUGGAAUGCGGCCCAGGGAACCUGUAAUCCCGACUAUCAGCCGUGGGAUUCUUACCCUCCGAUGAGGACGCUGAGGCACAGAGAAGUUAAGUAAGUUAACUUGCCCGAGGUCACACAGAAUACAUCAUUUCGUUCAGAAGCAGAAAGCAUGGCUGUGUCCUCUUCCCUCUGCCCUGAGACAAUCCUGCAGGUAAAAAGUCAGUUAAGAGUCACGUUGCAAGACUUGUUGCCUUCUAGGAGCCUUCUAGAAACAGGAUACCCUCCAAGGGAUCUGCCCACAGCCCAGCAUCUGAUCAGAAUGCCUCAUGAGAUUUUUUUUCAGGGGGAGGGAAAGCGGUUCAUUAUGGAGAGGAGUUUCCAAAAUGAAAAUAAACCAGCAAACAACCAAAGUUGUUAACAGAGAUCUGGUAAUUUAGCCUUACUAAGUUCAACAUUAAGAAGAGAACUAAAUCAUUUAUAGAAACCUUCUUUCCCUCGGGAGACAUUUAAGAACUGAACAUAUUUUUAAAGAAUUUAAAGGAAUGCCAAGUUUAUGUAAAAUUAUACCAAUGAUGAAAGAAGCUUAAGAACAACAACAAAGCCAGCCAAAGCCGUUGCCCACAAUCUUAUGCUCUUUAGAGACACAGAAAAAAAGCAAGAUGGAGGCAGCCAAGAGCGUGAGGGCUGGUGAUCAGCAGCACAGCUGGGGAGCCUGCUUCAGUUCAGGGAGCCUGGCUGGCUGUCCCUGAGCUGGCGGAGCCGGGACAGGUGCCAACGCCAAGGGUCCAGGCAGAGGAAAACUUGGUGUGUUUGGAGAGAUUCGCCUCUCUGAGUCUCAUCUCCAAAAGGGGACACCGAGUAGCUACCUCAGAGGAUUGUGUGAAAAAAAAAAUCCAGCAGAUUGUAAAUAUGUCACUUAACACCGUCUCUGGCCUCUGGCAAGUGUUGAGUAAAUGGUACCUGCUAGAGCUCAGGACUCCUUUGGUCUCCGAAGAGAAAGAGGCCAAACCCUGAAGCUUCACGCUGUGUCCGGCCUCAGCGGAGUGUUCUACACAUCCUGAUAUUUCACCCUCACCUUAACGCAGGGGCUGUCGUUGUCAUUAUUCCCUUUGCAGAUGCGGAGACUGAGGGGAAGAAGGGCAGAUACAUGAGUCAGCAGAGAGAUUUACACAGAGAGGAAGGGAUGAGAACCCCAGGUCUGUUCUGACUCUGCUUUUUACUACACAACUUUCCAGGGAAACUUAAAAAAGAAAAAAAAAAGCGAUGUCGUUUUUCGAGUUCCACGUCUCUUUAAACGUAAAGAUCUAUUUGUUUCCAGAAAGCGACAGUGGGAAAUUCCAAAAUGGAGCAAGGUGUGCCCGGCAGACUUCUGGAUUGGGGGGUUUUUGCCUGUGUUCAGAGACAGAAACUUCAGGCUGACGUUAUUUUCCACACACUUGAAGAGCUUCAAGACCGACGGGAACCUGUGCCCCAGAGCUGAACCCCACCUCUCACUCAGUGCCAUCACUCUGAGGUCAGCGUGUCCAAAAGCCUCCACGUAAACAGCGGUCCUUAAAAUAGGAUCUUCGUGCAUGUAGCCUGUGUUUACUGUUACUCGUUCAGGAUGGUAAGGAGACUAUUUAUCUUAGUCUCCUAACCUUGUCUGAUUUUCUGUAAUCAGGAGCAGUGAAUGUUGCUUUUUGUCUGUGGGUGGCCCUUGCUGGUACUUUUUCUCCGUUGGUCAGUUCUGUGACUUGGGGGCAAAAGGUCUCCCUGCUCCCUCUUUAAAAUCAGGAGUGUGAGCCGUUUAGUGAUGCUCCUGUUGAGUCUGGCUAUGAACUUGAAGUCUUAAGCUCUCACCCUCUACAGGGACUUGAAUGAGAAACCUGGAUUCUGGGCAUUUUUCUUCCUGGGGCUUAUUCUUGCUCCUUCCUACAGCCGUUCAUUCGGUGAUUGACUCAUUCAUACACCCAACAUGAAGCACCUGCUCUGUUUUUGCCCACUCUCUUCUCUCCAGCAGCCCAGUGCUUCUCAGAGAUAGCGCCAAAGGAUCGGUUCAGAAAAACACUUUCCAAUUAUUGCAGACAGAUACUUUUGUAAAAUAUCAUAACAAUGAAUUACCAGAGAAAAUGAAAUUAGAAAAUCCCAAAGACAUACAAAAUGCAAGCCCCCCUUUCUUAGUGCAAGAUUCAACAGACCACAGUUUGAGUAGCGUGGCGCUGGAGCACAGAAUUACAAUACAGAGUGAUAAACGUCCCCAUGAGAUCCCCAAAGAUAGGAACCUAGUUUUGCGGGAACCCAAAGAGUUCAAGCACGUGUGUGUGAUAUGAUAGAAACAGCCUUGAAAAUCAGAGUCUGGGGCCUCGGUUUCUCCACCUGUCCCAUAGUCUACUCCAUUGGGUUGUUGAGUGUAGCCGACAUAGAAAGCACUAGACACACCUGAAUCUGAGGAAUAUUGUGCCAACCUCAUCGAGUUCAAACUGCUUAAAUGGAAUCCAUAUAGACUUACCUUAUGUAGCACUCUGCUAAUUAAAAUAUUUUAAAAUUAUUUUUAUCCUAAAAGUAAAGCAUUUGGUAGGAGAAAAAGAAAUCUCCCCUUUACCCGUCCUUCUGGGUCUUUUAUUGUACAUAUAUAUCAAUGGGCUUGUACCAUACAGAAUCUUUUUUUUUUUUUUUGAACAAAUCUUGCUUGUUUCAUUAAACAACAUAUCUUGGCGAUACUUCCACUUUACUACUUAGAUACCGUCCUCAUUUUUUUCCAGCUUGCAUUGCUUUCCAAGCUAUAGGUAUGCCAUCGCUUAUUUAGGCAGUCUUGUGAUGCUACACAUUUAGGUCAUUAUUACUCAUAAUGUUGCAAUAAACAUCCUGUGUGUAUGUUCUGUGUA